GACGAACGCUGGCGGCGUGCUUAACACAUGCAAGUCGAACGAUGAAGCCCUUUCGGGGGUGGAUUAGUGGCGAACGGGUGAGUAACACGUGGGUAACCUGCCCUGUACCCUGGGAUAAGCCUUGGAAACGAGGUCUAAUACCGGAUAUGACCUGCUCUCGCAUGGGGGUGGGUGGAAAGUUUUGGCGGUGCAGGAUGGACCCGCGGCCUAUCAGCUUGUUGGUGGGGUGAUGGCCUACCAAGGCGACGACGGGUAGCCGGCCUGAGAGGCGACCGGCCACACUGGGACUGAGACACGGCCCAGACUCCUACGGGAGGCAGCAGUGGGGAAUAUUGCACAAUGGGCGAAAGCCUGAUGCAGCGACGCCGCGUGA
rnacentral:rRNA from 1 species